AGUGAACGCUGGCGGUAGGCCUAACACAUGCAAGUCGAACGGCAGCACAGUAAGAGCUUGCUCUUACGGGUGGCGAGUGGCGGACGGGUGAGGAAUACAUCGGAAUCUACUUUUUCGUGGGGGAUAACGUAGGGAAACUUACGCUAAUACCGCAUACGACCUACGGGUGAAAGCAGGGGAUCUUCGUACCUUGCGCGUUUGAAUGAGCCGAUGUCGGAUUAGCUAGUUGGCAGGGUAAAGGCCCACCAAGGCGACGAUCCGUAGCUGGUCUGAGAGGAUGAUCAGCCACACUGGAACUGAGACACGGUCCAGACUCCUACGGGAGGCAGCAGUGGGGAAUAUUGGACAAUGGGCGCAAGCCUGAUCCAGCCAUACCGCGUGGGUGAAGAAGGCCUUCGGGUUGUAAAGCCCUUUUGUUGGGAAAGAAAAGCAGCAGGUUAAUACCCCGCUGUUCUGACGGUACCCAAAGAAUAAGCACCGGCUAACUUCGUG
rnacentral:rRNA from 1 species